rnacentral:rRNA from 1 species
AUUGAACGCUGGCGGCAGGCCUAACACAUGCAAGUCGAGCGGAUGAAGGGAGCUUGCUCCUGGAUUCAGCGGCGGACGGGUGAGUAAUGCCUAGGAAUCUGCCUGGUAGUGGGGGAUAACGUCCGGAAACGGGCGCUCAUACCGCAUACGUCCUGAGGGCGAACGUGGGGGAUCUUCGGACCUUACGCUAUCAGAUGAGCCUAGGUCGGAUUAGCUAGUUGGUGGGGUAAAGGCCUACCAAGGCGACGAUCCGUAACUGGUCUGAGAGGAUGAUCAGUCACACUGGAACUGAGACACGGUCCAGACUCCUACGGGAGGCAGCAGUGGGGAAUAUUGGACAAUGGGCGAAAGCCUGAUCCAGCCAUGCCGCGUGGGUGAAGAAGGUCUUCGGAUUGUAAAGCACUUUAAGUUGGGAGGAAGGGCAGUAAGUUAAUACCUUGCUGCUUUGACGGUACCAACAGAAUAAGCACCGGCUAACUUCGUG